GACAGAGGUGCCAAGCGUUAGGCGGAAUCACUGGGCUUAAAGCGUGUGUAGGUGGAUCGUUAAGUACCUUGUGAAAUCCCACGGCUCAACCGUGGAACUGCUUGGUAUACUGCGGAUCUUGAGCCACCUAGGGGCGAGCGGAACAAGUGGUGGAGCGGUGAAAUGCGUAGAUAUCACUGGAACGCCAAUGGUGAAACAGCUCGCUGGGGUGUGCUGACGCUGAGACACGAAAGCCAGGGAGCAAACGGG
rnacentral:rRNA from 1 species